GAUGAAGAACGCAGCGAAAUGCGAUAAGUAAUGUGAAUUGCAGAAUUCAGUGAAUCAUCGAAUCUUUGAACGCACAUUGCGCCCGCCAGUAUUCUGGCGGGCAUGCCUGUUCGAGCGUCAUUUCAACCAUCAAGCCCCAGGCUUGUGUUGGGGACCUGCGGCUGCCGCAGGCCCUGAAAAUCAGUGGCGGGCUCGCUAGUCACUCCGAGCGUAGUAGCACAUCUCGCUCAGGGCGUGCGGCGGGCUCCAGCCGUUAAAGCACCCACCUUUCGCAAGGUUGACCUCGGAUCAGGUAGGAAUACCCGCUGAACUUAAGCAUAUCAAUAAGCGGAGGA
rnacentral:misc_RNA from 1 species